UGAAAUUCUUAUUAAAAAUGUUUCCCAGAUAUCCCCGUACAUUCCCUCUCGGCAAGAUCCCGUGCGUUCCCAAAAUCCCCAAAUCUUCCUUGCAAUUUCCUCCUCCUGCUACUGCCUUCGAAUCGCUAGAGUGCCGCCUGCCGCCACAGCCACCUAUUUGCCGCCGGCUAUUGUCGACACUUAAUUGUCUGCUGCCGCCCGUCUGCCGCCGGCGAUUACCAUUGUAGCAUCUAGAGCUGCUCGUCUCCCACGCUGACGCUUGAGCCGCUGUGACAACAUAUCCUCGUGGUCGUUCCAAUUCUCCGCCAAAAAGCUGCUCAUCACCUCCGAUCGCUUGCCUCCUGCCACAGCCCGCCUAUUAUCCCAGGGUCUGCCGCUACACGCCUCUUGUGCAGACACCUCAGCCGCUGCCAUAGCAUCUCCUCGUUGGAGUCCUUUUCACAUCCUAAAUUGCAAAAAAUUACUGGUUGUUGAAUCAUUGCCUAGCGAUAGGGUUGUUUUCAUUAGAGAGGCAUCUCCACCUUGAACGGAAAGAGGGAUAAUUCACCUAGUAACGAAGUGGAAAUGAAAAUCCUCAAAACGGGUUGCUUGAGGCAAGGACGUAGGCUGCUGGCUGAACCUAUUAAAAAAUCUAGUGUUCAGCUCUUCUUCCCCUACUCUUUAAAUUCUUGCAAGAUUAUAACCUGCGUGUGUGUUUAUAUAUAUUCAUUGAGAACUUGCUGAAUAUUUGAGAUUGAUUAUUGUAGACACCCCAAUUUUUACCAGACCUUCCUAAGAAGACCCGACGUAAUAAAGCUGACUUUAAGUCCGAUCAA